AUUGAACGCUGGCGGCAUGCCUUACACAUGCAAGUCGAACGGUAACAGGUUAAGCUGACGAGUGGCGAACGGGUGAGUAAUGUAUCGGAACGUGCCCAGUCGUGGGGGAUAACUGCUCGAAAGAGCAGCUAAUACCGCAUACGACCUGAGGGUGAAAGCGGGGGAUCGCAAGACCUCGCGCGAUUGGAGCGGCCGAUAUCAGAUUAGGUAGUUGGUGAGGUAAAGGCUCACCAAGCCGACGAUCUGUAGCUGGUCUGAGAGGACGACCAGCCACACUGGGACUGAGACACGGCCCAGACUCCGACGGGAGGCAGCAGUGGGGAAUUUUGGACAAAGGGCGCAAGCCUGAUCCAGCCAUGCCGCGUGCGGGAAGAAGGCCUUCGGGUUGUAAACCGCUUUUGUCAGGGAAGAAAAGGUUCUGGCUAAUACCUGGGACUCAUGACGGUACCUGAAGAAUAAGCACCGGCUAACUACGUG
rnacentral:rRNA from 1 species